rnacentral:rRNA from 1 species
UACAGAGGCGGCAAGCGUUGUUCGGAAUUACUGGGUGUAAAGGGCGCGUAGGCGGCCUGUUAAGUCCCGUGUGAAAUCCCUCGGCUCAACCGAGGAACUGCACGGGAAACUGGCGGGCUUGAGUUCGGGAGAGGGAAGCGGAAUUCCGGGUGUAGCGGUGAAAUGCGUAGAUAUCCGGAGGAACACCGGUGGCGAAGGCGGUUUCCUGGACCGACACUGACGCUGAGGCGCGAAAGCUAGGGGAGCAAACGGG